rnacentral:lncRNA from 1 species
GGAGCGGGUUUGGGGUGGUUUUGGUUUUUCUGUUCUCUUUUCCUUUUUGCCCGCCUGGUGGCCAGGUGAGCCUUGAGGCCAGGCCGGCAGGGACUCAGCGUGCUAGUUGCCGCCCACCGUGUCUGCCCCCCGACGGCUUCCUCCUAGGCUGCAAGACUGCACCCAGAGUCCCCCUUGUCACUGCUGCACCCGAGAAGCCCUCUCAGGACCCCAGUCGCCCUGCCUUGGGAUGACUCGCCAGCUCCGCCCGUGCCCUCCACCUGUACGUCCCUUGGGCGCCUGUGAUGCCAGCCUGUUCCCCACUGGCCACCCUCCAGUCCCUGCUGAGUCACCAGGAUGUCCCGUCUCCCAGUUCCUCCCGUGCCCGUGGCUCUGGCCACAUCCUGAGCCUCCAUCUGCCCUCUGCCAGUGCUGCCUCCACUCCUUCUGGUCAGGCUGCGGAGUCCAGAGGGCUUCAGGGAGAGGUAUUCUGCAGCUCUGCGAUGGCCCCACAGGCAGGAGUGGGGAAGAGGUUUCAGGAACCUCCCACAGCCUUCACCCCCCCCCCCCCCACUGCAGAAACCCCCUGGGACAGCUGUCUUGCCUGUUCCUCCCCACCUGCAGAGCUUGGAGGACUCAGGCCAGCUGUGGGGGACCAGGGAGUCCUCCCAUCCAACUGGCUCAAUGUCUCAGAGAGGGAUGCUCGGGAAGAAAUAAAAUGGGGGGUGUCAGGCUGUCGGGGCUUCCCCAGACCAGUCAAGGGGGCGGUGCUGGCCUGGGUUCUGGCUCCAAAGCCUCCUGCAGAGUAGACACCGGAUGUGAGUUUGCUAAAUAAAGACCCGUUCCUGCCUGCCUUCCCAUGUGUGCUUGUUGCCCCUGAGCCCAGAGAGGGCCCUGCUGGAGGGACACUGAGACCUCAGUGCUCAGCUCAGCCGAAGCCCCAGAGCAGCAUCCUUACCCCACAGAGCGUCCACAUUCUCAUCUGUAAAAUGGGGGCGUGGUGUUGACCCGCCCAUACCCAGGGUCCUGGCAGGAUGGACUGAGGCCCCCCAUGGGGGUCUCUGUCCUGGGAUGGCAGUGACACUCUCCAGCCGCAUCAGUGUUUUAAGGAGCACAUGCUAAGGAUCACAGUCCUGGCCCCAGGCAGCCGCAAGCAUCCCAUACGGUGUUGAGGCCCUGGCUCUUGGCCCUGAAGCUCGACCGUUGGAGCCAGACAAGGACUGGUCUGCAGGACACUGCUGCUGCCCAGGCUGGUGGGUGAGCCUGGAGGUGGGGGGGUUAGAAGGUGCUAGGUGCUCAGAGGCCUCCCUCCCCUGGGCCACCCACAGGACCCUGCGGGAGCAGGGUGGCCGGCAUAUGCAGAGCCCAGUCCCAGAGGUGGCCUGCUGGCCAGGGCUGCUCAGGAGACAGUGAGCAGAAGGCCCGCACACCCAAGUGGGGGCUCCCCUCCCCCCACUCACUGUGGCCUUGCACAAGGCCCUCCACGGCCCUGAGUCUCAUGUUCCCGUGAGCAUCCAGGACUCCAGGAAGACCGGGACUCCAGGGUUAGGCGGGGGUGCUCAGACCCCAGCGUGAGGCCUGGCGCAGGGAAAGGACCUCUCUGCUGGGCACUCACGGGUGACUCCCCAAAUGCCCUUCUGCAGGCACUCUGCUUCCUGGAGGCCUCCUUAUAAAUACACCGUAUCCUGAGAGUACCCCAGGGACCCUGAGUCCCUUGGGCUGGGCCAGAGAAAGCUGGUUUGUUAUUUAAAAGAUGUUCCAAGUGAUUCUGAUGCUCAGUGACCUCGGAACCCCACUAAGCAACUCACCUGUGGGAAGCAGGUGUCCACUGCCACGGAUGGGGGGUGCUGGCCCCGCAAGGCCACACUCAGCUGUAGGGCCCUUUAAUCUUGGCAUUCAGUUGUCAAAACUCCACUGAGGACCCCAGAGCCCCUACCUAGGGAUCCAGAGGGUGCAGACUUCAGUGAGGUGACCAGACACAAGGUGCAGACCCAGGGGCUUCCAGCAGAGUCGGGAAGACACUGGAGGAGGGGAGCCCGGUCUCUCUCCCUGGCCCCUUGUAAGUGCACGCAGGACAAAUACAAAGAAAACACUGCACCCAAGGUGGUGAGAAUGUCACCUUUUUAUCAUGAGGAGAAUAAAUAUUGGAACAGUGUAAGCUCUUUGAAUAUC